rnacentral:rRNA from 1 species
UACAGAGGGUGCGAGCGUUGUUCGGAAUUACUGGGCGUAAAGCGCGCGCAGGCGGCUCUUUAAGUCCGCGGGUGAAAUGCCGGGGCUCAACCCCGUGCCUGCCCGGGAUACGGGCUGGCUAGAGGCAGGCAGGGGAGAACGGAAUUCCUGGUGUAGCGGUGAAAUGCGCAGAUAUCAGGAAGAACACCAAUGGCGAAGGCAGCUCUCUGGGACGGUACUGACGCUGAGACGCGAAAGCGUGGGGAGCGAACAGG